rnacentral:rRNA from 1 species
UACGGAGGAUGCAAGCGUUAUCCGGAUUCAUUGGGUUUAAAGGGUACGUAGGUGGCCAAUUAAGUCAGUGGUGAAAUCCUGCCGCUUAACGGUAGAACUGCCAUUGAAACUGGUUGGCUUGAGUACAGUUGAGGUAGGCGGAAUGUGUAGUGUAGCGGUGAAAUGCUUAGAUAUUACACAGAACCCCGAUUGCGAAGGCAGCUUACUAAACUGUAACUGACACUGAGGUACGAAAGCGUGGGGAGCGAACAGG